CUUUCAGUGUGGCUGGGAUUUCCCUCUGAGGCUGGCGGGGCUGCUCUGCUGAUGGUGCUGCCAGCUGUGUUUUGGGGGAAGCAGCUUGGAGCAGGCAGCUAGAGCGCUGGGCUGGCACAGAAAAGCCCUGCAGAGCUCAUGCCAGCCCAGCUACCCAGACAGACAGACAGACACUGUCUGACCAAAGACUUCAGCUACUGCCCCAGCACCUCUACUCCGUGUGAGCCCAUGUGGAGCUGUGGGUAUGCAACUAGGGCCCCAGGGAAGGCCGGGACCUUGACCAAAAGACUGGAGAACUUGCUCUAUGAAGGAAGACUGAAAGAGCGAGGUCUUAUCACCCUGUAAGAGAUGUCGCAGGGGGGAUUUAAUGACAGGACUCCAGGAUUUAAGGGGUGGCUACAAAGAGGAUGGAGGCUGUCUCUUCACCAGGAGCCACAUGGAGAAGACAAGGGGAAAUGGGUAAAAAGAGAAGUUUUAGUCAUGAUGUAAGAAACAUAUUUUUUUCCAGUGGGAUCUGCUAACCUGAGAACAACCUCCCCAGGGACGUGGUGGAAUCCCCAUCCUUGGGGCUCUUUAAAUGCAACUGGAUAGCAACACUGGGCAUCUCAUCCAGGCUCCCUGCCCCAUGGACCUGGUGAUCUCCCCAGGUCCCUUCCAUGGGCUGUGCUGUGGCUCUGUGACUCCAUAACAGCCCACUGCACAGGGCGAUGUGCACACGAGGGGCACAGCAACCACUGGUUGUGGGCAAACGCUGGUCUGGGAAACCACUCUGAGCUGUUCUGUACAAGGCAUGUCUAUCUCAGAGCCCAACUCUUCUUCUGAUGCUGCCCUAACGGCGAUUUAUGUCUUCCCCAGCUGUACUGUCAGAGGGAAGACAUCAGCUCAAGUGGAACAUGUCCUGAGAAGGCACUUGCAUGUUGCAGCGAAAAAUACACUGUGAUUUGAUCAGAGCCCAAAGAAAGCUGCAGAACAAGGAUGGCCUCUGUCAGAUGCAUAUCUGCUCCUGGGAGCUCACCUCCCCAGCAGUCUGCUGAAAGAGGCCGGACCCUGCAAGGCACCGCACUGCAAGUCACUGCUGCAGCUCCUCCAGCCUUGCCCAGCUCCUGGGCCUCUCCAGUGAGCAAGAGCUUCACAAAUGGUGCCCAGACCCCUAACACCAUGAAAUACACUUGUUUGUGUUUGGCAUUUUAAAGUAAAGACGUUCUCCUCCCCUGCACUGACCCUGCUCCUUUCUCUCGCUGAGACCUGCGCGUUUUGUCUUCCCAGUUAUCACUCUAGAAACUCAAACAUGAUAUUAGUUUAAUUAGAGAUCAACUCCUUUUAUGGAAUGCAAAUGCCCUACCCGACUAAAUCCCCCUUCUGCAGUUGGCAGAUGCAAAUUAAAUCCUAUGCACUGAAGUGUAAUUUGGCUCUGAACACUCUUAAAGGCCCUCAGUGAUUCAGUGGGUGGAGGGGAAUUAGUCUUAAGCUGCAUUUGUUGCUUUCUCCUCCCUUAAUUUGUUUAUACGAAUGCUACUGAAGCAAUAUCCACUGCAGACAAAUUGCCAAGUGACACACAUGAAUGAGAGCCAGGGUUUCGCUGCUGGUUUUUGGAGCUGUAAAUAACACAGGUCCAGUCUACCUGAAAUAAUGGGAAACAAGGGGCCAUCUGCCACUUCGCGUCCCAUCAUCUUCUUGGGGACCAGCAUACUGGGAUGCCCAAGUGGGCCAUCCUACAGUCACGCAAGGACAGCAGUGCUGGCCUGUGGCAUUUCUCAGCACUCCAGGAGUCCCAUUUUUCAGUGAAAUGCUCUUCUUUAGCUGUUCUGUCCCCAGCCUGAUGGGUGGUGCUGGAAUCCCCAUCCCACAUGGAGGAGCCUUGGAAGCUCUCUGCACUGAUGCACUGAGCUGGUUCCUCCAGCACCAUCACUUGUUGGUGAGCCUCAGUGAAAGCUGCAAUAUUUUUGUCUUGGAUUACUAAAAGAAGUAUUGGGCUGAAGAUCUGAAAAGGGCCCUGAGAGCUCACAUAGUGCAUGAGCUUUAAAUUAACAGAUAAAAUGGACAUUUUGGCAAAAUAAUCCCUGUCAGUCUCCUCUAGGACUGCCACAAUGGUUUUCACCUAUCACCACUAACAGGCUGCACUUUGAAUGUUCCAUUUUAUUUUCCUUCACUGCAUUUACCUUGAAAUAGGUUUCUAUGAUGUUGUGGGCCA
ensembl:lncRNA